CGUUCCAGUCUCUAUCCUUAUUUUCUAUAAAGGUGGGAGAAUGAACUCUUAGUAGAAUAGGGUUGGCCAAGCCACCAUCUUUAAUGAUAACAAGAAGAGAGUAGAGUUGAAAAUCAGGACACAAGAUACCGUAGGUGUGCUGGGGAAGGCAGGAAAGAACCCCAAACACUGGAUGCUUAGAGGAAUUGGGCACAAGAGGCUUUCUGCUGUCUGCCUUUAGUUUGGCUGAGAAGUCUUCCAAGAAGAAGGCGAAUGACUGGUCCAAGGAGCUGGCUCCAGCUUCUUUGUGCAUUUAUAGAACUUCCACACCAGCAAAAGAAAGUGUUUACCCCAACCUAGUGAACUGAUGAGCUCAAAUCCCUCUCUCUUUCCAAAGGUUGCAUUCCCCUCCUUAGCUCCACAUUCCUUCCAGCCAGAUGACUCAUUUUUUCCACAACACAGACAGAAUGGCAAAUCGCACGCGGGGGUGUGACUCACGCAGAAUACAGGCAGACACCACAGCAAGAGGGCAGAAGUUUGGGGUCAUUGAAGAAGUUUCACAAUUUCCUGAAGGCAAUUCAGCUUACUCUUAUACUCCUGUUUAAUGCUGGCUCCUACCCAAGUGCUCAUUUAUCGGGUCACAUCUUCUGAAUCUAUGAGCCCUGGUUGGGUCUAGGCUGGAUGGUGUUCCAGAUGCUAAUACAUGAGCUUCCACAUCAGGCUAUCCAGCAGAAAGUGAUGGGUGUGGGAGAGUGGAGACGCUGCUGAGAAUCCCACUGCACAGAUGGCUCACAGAGCCCCUCCACCGCACCCCAGAGUAAAUGAAAGGAGCAGUGAGGGCCAGAAGGCUGCUGGAAGAGUCCAGUCUACAUCCUGUGUGGCUCUCAUACAAGGGGAAGGCAAUAGUGAAUUAGUGUA
rnacentral:lncRNA from 1 species